GAUGAACGCUAGCGGCAGGCCUAAUACAUGCAAGCCGGACGGCAAGUUGAGUAGCAAUACUUGACCUAGAGUGGCGUAAGGGUGCGUAACACGUAUGCAAUCUGCCCACAGCCGGGAGAUAGCCCUCCGAAAGGAGGAUUAAUAUCCCAUAGGAAGAUGAGAUGGCAUCAUUUUAUUUUUAAACUACGGGGCUGUGGAUGAGCAUGCGGUUGAUUAGCUAGUUGGCGGGGUAAAGGCCCACCAAGGCGAUGAUCAAUAGGGGACCUGAGAGGGUGAUCCCCCACACUGGCACUGAGAUACGGGCCAGACUCCUACGGGAGGCAGCAGUAGGGAAUAUUGGGACCAAUGGGGUGUUAAAGCCUGAUCCAGCCAUGCCGCGUGCAGGAAGAAGGCCUUCUGGG
rnacentral:rRNA from 1 species